rnacentral:rRNA from 1 species
AUUGAACGCUGGCGGCAGGCCUAACACAUGCAAGUCGAGCGGAUGAAGGGAGCUUGCUCCUGGAUUCAGCGGCGGACGGGUGAGUAAUGCCUAGGAAGCUGCCUGGUAGUGGGGGAUAACGUCCGGAAACGGGCGCUAAUACCGCAUACGUCCUGAGGGAGAAAGUGGGGGAUCUUCGGACCUCACGCUAUCAGAUGAGCCUAGGUCGGAUUAGCUAGUUGGUGGGGUAAAGGCCUACCAAGGCGACGAUCCGUAACUGGUCUGAGAGGAUGAUCAGUCACACUGGAACUGAGACACGGUCCAGACUACUACGGGAGGCAGCAGUGGGGAAUAUUGGAGCAUGGGCGAAAGCCUGAUCCAGCCAUGCCGCGUGUGUGAAGAAGGUCUUCGGAUUGUAAAGCACUUUAAGUUGGGAGGAAGGGCAGUAAGUUAAUACCUUGCUGUUUUGACGUUACCAACAGAAUAAGCACCGGCUAACUUCGUG